UAACUUGUGUUUUAAAAAGCUGUAUAUUUCAUAUGUACAUCAGUAACAAGUCACGGUGGUGAGAGUAUUUGUCUUGUCUUGUAUUGUCUUGAUAUAGGUAAUACAUGUACAGGUAUGAUAUAGGUAAAAAAUAUUAACAGGUAAAUGUGGCGCAAUUUCGUUUCAUUUAUUGGCGCAAUUAAUACUAUCAAAAUAAAAAAGAGUGGCGCAAUUAAUACCUUUUCAAAACUGCAAUUGGCACAAAUUGAUUCUGCCCA
rnacentral:lncRNA from 1 species